GGGGUGUGGAAAGAGAGGGUGCCUCGUCAUUCAGAAGAGAGAGGAUGAUGGCACCCUUGGGGUCCGGCAGGACUUUAUUUAAAAGGGGUCCUGGAAGGCUGAUAGGAUUUGGCUGAACAGAAGGGAUAUCUACAAGGAGACACGUUUAGGAAACAUUUUGGAAAGUGCCUCACCAUAACAGCUGGAACUCUGUGGUUUUAUGGAGUAAACGAACACUGCGACCUUGCAGUAAGUGGAGGGUUUGUGUUAGCAGGAAGCUUGAGAAGGGGCUGUACGGGUAGAAUCUCCAGCCUUUGGCUGGUUAGGAACUUUUGAUAGUCGUUGUUGGGCAUGAUCUGAACCAAGUGGUAGAUGAGAAACUUGCGUUGAGCUGAGACAUAGUUGAGGGAUUGGAGGGGGAGAUCAGAAGCGUGAAAACCGUGGCUAGAGUGGUUGUCUGUGUAAAGUGAGGCAAGCUGAGACCGGCAGGGCCGAGUAGGGCCGAGCCGAAAAGGUAUUGGGAAGAAUCAGCAGGACAAAACAGUUGAGAAUGACUGGUGUGGGCUGCUGGGAGGACCCAGUCCCAAGAGGUCAGGCACAGUGCUCACUGCUCUUCCAGGCAUGUUCCAGAGAGGCUUUAAAUGAAGUAAAUAAAGAAGCUUCUGUUAAAAUGUUUGAUUAAAUACAUAUAGUGAGUGCUUUUAAAAUGCUGAUGGGGCAAGAUGGCAGAUAAUAUAGCAGUUUUAGGAGAGUUUAUUGUUUGAGGUUCUGGUGUAGAGAUUUGAUUCCCAGCACAAGUCCCAGUAAGUAAUGAGCCAUGUAAUAAUAGGGCUCUGCUCUUAAUUAUGGUGAGUACUCUCAAUGAAAUCGAAUUUUCUUAGUACCAUCCGUGGAAAAAAAUUUAACUCUGACUUUACAUAACAGUCCCAGAUAGAGUGUGAACUCUGUGGAUAUGGGAUAGUGACAGAAAAAAAGAGGAAACAAAUCUCCAAUAUUUGCAGAAAAUGUAAGCUCAGAUUAUAACAUAAAUAUAUGAGUGUUUGUGGCGGCUCUGUUGAAGUUGUUACUAGCUAGACUCUAAACCCCAGCACAAACCCCUUCCAGAUUUCAUCAUCACGACUGGUUCUCGGUUAGAUUUUGAGGAGUUCCCAUCGUGGCUUAGCGGAAACAGAUCUGACUAGCAUCCAUGAAGAUGCAGGUUCAAUCCCUGGCCUCACUCAGUGGGUUAAGGAUCCAGCAUUGCCGUGAACUGUGGUGUAGGUCACAGAUGUGGCUCAGAUCUGACAUUGCUGUGGCUGUGGUGUAGGCUGGCAGCUACAACUCCAAUUCAACCUCUAGCCUGGAAACUUUCAUAUGCCGUGCAUAUGGCCCUAAAAAGAUGAACAAAACAAAACAAAACAAUUCAGUUUUAUUGAAUUGCUUCUGCAAAUGAUAGUGGGGGAAGGGGAGAGAUUGCUAAUGAAUACUUUUCCUUUGUUUUUUUUAAGACUUUUUGGGGUAAUGACCAACUGUAUUUUCAGCUAGUCAGCCUGUCAUGUGGGUGUGGAAUGCACCUGCAGGUGUGAGGAGAAUUAGGGGGGUGAGUCCAUUGGAACAGUCCCCAGCGAGAUGCCCUGCACCAGGUUUUCUGUGGGCACCUGUAGGAAUGGGCAGCUCUCUCUCCCUGAGGCCACUGGGCACUGCCAGUAAGUGCCACCAGCCACUUAGGAAGAAAUCAUGUGUGAUAUUUAUGAUGGACGUAUGAGCGCUAGGUAUAACUCCUGGUUUGCCUUUCACAGGUCGGGUGACCGUCUGCAGAUCCUAGCCAUUGGAAAGAUGAGCGUUAUAACUCACAGGGUCAUUCUGGCCAGCCCACGGUGCCUGGUUGGCAUGUAGAGAAUGUAUUAUUUCUGUUCUCUUCUGGGGGCCUCUGGAAAGCAGACCGAGGUUUAAAAAGAUGUUGUCAAAAUUCUUUCCUUUGAAAUCAAUCUGUGUUGACUCAUAAUUUGAGUACUCCUUUAGUACAGUUAUUAAAUAUAGUUACAUAAUUAGCUCACACACAUGCCUAUUUAACCUGUGAGGGCAGAAUUUUGAUUAUGUAGGUCCCAUGGCUUAAGAAAAUGGGGUUUUCUCUUCAACUUGUCUUUAAACUAGAUCUCAAAUUAGCGGACAUUGAUUUCAGAAUUCAGCCUUUAGGAUUCCUCAGAAGUUUUUCUUGCCUUUCAUUUGUCGCUCCCUUAACAUCUCCCCUGCUUUUUUUCAUUUGCUCUUUUCAUGUUGUCAGGGUUUUUUGUUUGUUUUUACGUUUUCUCUCCUGAAACUUUGCACUCAGAGAUAGGAGUAAAGGCCUAUUUUGAGGCAGUAGGAUGGACAGUGUGCUUUCUUUCAUCUCAGUGUAUUAUUGUUUUGCUAACAUGCCUUUUUGCUCUGAAGAUAUAAAUUCACAACUGGAGAAAGAAUCCCAAACUUCAUAAUAACUCUGUAGUUUCCUGAGUGCUUAUUGUGUGCCAAGUACAGGGCAUUUUAGUACAUUAGCUGAUGUCUUCUCAUCCAUAGUGAAGAGACGAAGGCGCCUUGGAGAGUCAGGCCUGGCUGCUUGCUGUGACCGUGCUCCUGACCUGUUCUCUUGUUCCCCCUUGUUCAGUCCCAGGGACAGGGUGGUUUUUAUUAUCUUUAAAGACCUAAGAGAUCUUGGGGCCCUGACUUUGAUGGAUGGCAUUUGGCCUAUUUUAAUUACAAAAACUUAUCAAAUGUUAACAUAAAUUACCUGUGUCUAGUGGGUUCAUAGCCCCAAAUAGUGUCGUUUGGGGUCUUAAAGUGUGUUGAACUGAUUUUGAUGUGUUUAUAAGAGACAUUAUCACUGUUUGAAAAACCCGAUAGUGCUCUUUCCUCCCUGAUUUCUAAUUCUGGCAUCUAGAAUGCAGCUGAGACAAGAGCACGUCUGUGAGACAAACAGAGAUCUCAUGAGAGCUCAUGGAUUAACUUUUUUCCACCACAGCAGCAGGUUUUUCUUAAAGCGUUGUUUGAAAAUUAACAUUACUGAAAAUUUAAGCCUACCUAAAGGGAUUCUAGUUUUGAUCUCAAUUAUAAAAAGUAGGAAGACAUUUCAUAAAAAUCUGUGUCCCCUUAGCACUAGAAUGCUUUGGCUGUGAGUGGGAUAAGCUAGAAGUAAGCUGCCUUUGAUAGACGUGAGCGGUGUGUGAUAACUGUCUCUAUCUAUUCAACUACUUCCUGUUCAAUCUCACAUCGCAGCUGGAAAGCAAUUUCCUCACUUGACCCAUUUUUCUUCUGUAUUGUGUCUUUCUUCUGGUUCUUUAACAAAUAGUUUGAAGGAAUGGAGUGUCGUAAAGCCUUACACACUUGUAAGGUGAGGCAAUUCAGGCACCUGCUUUGGAAUAAGCAUACUCUCUUGUGUUUCAUUAUUUGGCUCCCUGGUUGGGUGGAUAACAGUUUUGCUCCUUUACUUUCAUGUCACUGUUUUCAGAAGAGAGAGAUUUUAAAGCUUGAAAAUGGUAGGCAUUUGAGUAAAGACAAAAACAGGUGUAUGGGGGUAAGGAUCUUGUUUUAGUAACAUGGACAAUUUAUGAAUGUUAUAAUUUUAGUAAGCAUAUAUGCAGUAAGUCUAGCAUUAAUAGAUCCACAUUGUAAAAUGCCUGUUUAUCCAAAGACGGAGGUCUCUUGGUAUCAUUGGCUUGUUACUGUUAAUGCCACCCUUAGUCACAGGUAUGACGUUAUCAUGUGAUAACUUUUGUCCCACACCCAUGGCUUAUAGAGUGCUUGGGUUGCCUUCUCUUUUUGCCAGAUCAAAUUCUAAAUGUCCUAACACACCGAACAUAACGCCAGUCUCCUUCUUGAAACCAUCUCUGACUUUACGUGUAUAAGCUCUCUCUUUUCUGUUUCUGCUCACACCUUUGGGGACCUCACUUAGCCCUGUGACUUUAAAUUUACCACACAUACCCUGAAGACUCCUAGGUUUUUGCUUGUUUUGUGAGGGGGUUUUUUGGCCAGCCUGGACUGCAUAGAUAUUUGCAUAUCUAGUUGCCUUCUCACCACCUGCACAGGACUGUUUAGUGAGCAUUUCCAGCCCACAGGGCCAGACCUGGCCCUGCUCUUGCCCCAGGACCACUCUGCCUGCACUCCUCUCUGUCUUCCUCGAGAGCGCUUACCCCCUUCUGGUCGCUCCAGUCUAAACCCUAGAGUCUUCCUUGGCUCCCUCUUUCUUUCCAUGUACAGUACAUAAGAAACUAAGAGAUUUCUAAGUGAUCCAUGGGUCAAAGAAGAGAAAUACUUGGAACUAAAUUUAAAAAACCAAAUACAACAUAUCAGAAAUCAUAUGAUGCUGCUAAGCUGUGCUAAGAGGGAAAUUUAUGGCAUUAAAUGUCUCUAUUGGAAAAGGAGAACGAUCUCAGAUCAGUAAUUUAAGCGUUUAUCUUAUUCCAAAAAGUGAAGAACAAACUAAACCCAAUAGCAAGUAAAAAGAAGGAGAUAAAGGUUAGAGUGGAAGUCAGUGACGUAGAAACAGAAAGCAGUAGAAAGGAUCAAUAGAACCAAAAUUAAUUGGUUAAUUGAAAAUUAAUUUCAGCCGGUUAAUUGAAGAUAUCAGCAAAAUUGACAAACCUGUAGCUAGAUUGACCAAGAAAAAGAGAGAAGAUACAAGGUACCAAAAUCAAGAAUGAAGAGGGGCGUUGAGUAUUGAUCUUACAGAAAUUAAGUUGAUAGUCUGAAUAACUUUGUACCAACAAGUUAGAUAGCUUAUAUGAAAUGGACAAAAUUCUAGAAAUAGGCAAAUUGCCAAAACUGACUCAAGAAAAAUGAAAAGUCUGAAUAGACAUAUAAUGAGUAAAGAAAUUGAAUUGAUAAUUAACAAUUUUGCCACAAAGAAAAGCCCAAGUUAUUUUGGCUUCAGUGGUAAAUUCUGUCAGACAUAUAAA
rnacentral:lncRNA from 1 species